UACGUAGGGUGCAAGCGUUAAUCGGAAUUACUGGGCGUAAAGCGUGCGCAGGCGGUUUCGUAAGUCUGUCGUGAAAUCCCCGGGCUUAACCUGGGAAUGGCAUUUGGGACUGCAAGGCUGGAGUGUGGCAGAGGAGACUGGAAUUCCUGGUGUAGCAGUGAAAUGCGUAGAUAUCAGGAGGAAUACCGAUGGCGAAGGCAGGUCUCUGGGCUGACACUGACGCUCAUGCACGAAAGCGUGGGGAGCAAACAGG
rnacentral:rRNA from 1 species